rnacentral:lncRNA from 1 species
UCUCCUCUUUAAAAGACAUCCUAGUGCAUGGUUCACCUAAACUAUAUACAACCAACUACUAAAUUUCUUCAUAUCUCUCUAAAAAAUAUGUUGGUGUUCAUCCUCGUUCAAAUGCAGAUAGGCCACAUUCAUCAAUUCCGAGUUAAUCUGCACCGCAUCUAUAUGACGCUUGGCUUACUAGUAGAUUUAUUUAUUGUUUUUAAAAAUAGUUCUUUGUAUGUGUCUUUGUUAAUGCAUUCAUCACUUUUUUUUUGAAUUGUAGUGGCUGCCACUAAGCGUCAAUGACUAUUUCCCCCCAAGACCGACACCGAUUAAGAUCAUUCAUUCAAUUUUCGAGGUGUAUCUAGCUCAGGUUGGUCCUUGCAAUGUCAAUAACCAUCUCAGGAUCAACAACAGAUGGAGAAAAUUUACCAGGGCUAUAAAUUUUAUAGAAAGAGAUGUUUUACAUAUGUUACUCGUACAUAGUUGUGAAAACUGUAUUAAAAUUGUUAUUCUUAAUCAGGACCUGCACCUACAAAAUCUUAUUGCAAGCACAGAACCUUUCCUGUUUUUUGAUCAGAUAUUACUAAUACUUUGUUGUUUUGGUUUAUUUUUAUAAAUAUAUUCAAUUGUUUAUGUUCAACGGAUUUAUUCAACUUUAUUUAUUUUGAUGCUUCCACA